ACGGCUGAGGUUGCGAAAACGAUCAGUACACUUCCGGAGUGGCAAGAGCCGGGAGCCGAAAGGCGUUUUCGCCGAAGGAUUUGUCUGAUGCCAAGCGGGCUUUUCCUGGGGCUGCGCAGAAUAUGCGCAGAACUGUCAUCCAUGUGAUGUUGUGCUGCC
rnacentral:ncRNA from 1 species